CGUCUCUAGAUUCCUUACACUUCUGAUCUACAUAUUGAUGUGAGUGGCUGAAAAAGGAGGAAAAGAGAAAUUGUAGGGGACUUGAAGCCUGUAAUGGCAAACAGUUCAUGUCAAUCAUAA
rnacentral:snoRNA from 1 species